rnacentral:rRNA from 1 species
UACGUAGGGUGCGAGCGUUGUCCGGAAUUAUUGGGCGUAAAGGGCUCGUAGGCGGUUUGUCGCGUCGGGAGUGAAAACCUCGGGCUUAACUCGGGGCUUGCUUUCGAUACGGGCAGACUGGAGGUAUGCAGGGGAGAACGGAAUUCCUGGUGUAGCGGUGAAAUGCGCAGAUAUCAGGAGGAAUACCGGUGGCGAAAGCGACUCUCUGGACGGCAACUGACGCUGAGGCACGAAAGCGUGGGGAGCAAACAGG